AUUGAACGCUGGCGGCAGGCCUUACACAUGCAAGUCGAGCGGAUGAGGGAAGCUUGCUUCCUGAUUUAGCGGCGGACGGGUGAGUAAUGCCUAGGAAUCUGCCUAUUAGUGGGGGAUAACCCGGGGAAACUCGGGCUAAUACCGCAUACGCUCUUCGGAGGAAAGCGGGGGAUCUUCGGACCUCGCGUUACCAGAUGAGCCUGCGUCCGAUUAGCUAGUUGGCGGGGUAAAGGCCCACCAAGGCAACGAUCGGUAGCUGGUCUGAGAGGACGAUCAGCCACACUGGGACUGAGACACGGUCCAGACUCCUACGGGAGGCAGCAGUGGGGAAUAUUGGACAAUGGGCGCAAGCCUGAUCCAGCAAUGCCGCGUGUGUGAAGAAGGCCUGCGGGUUGUAAAGCACUUUAAGCAGGAAAGAAGGCUUCAGGGUUAGUACCCUUGGGGAUUGACGUUACCUGCAGAAUAAGCACCGGCUAACUCCGUGCCAGCCGCCGCCGUAAGAC
rnacentral:rRNA from 1 species